UCUCCCCUUGUUUCAUUCUCCCAUGGGCAUUACAAUAAGACAAAAGAAAAAAAAAAUUGGAAAGAGAAAAGAUGGCAGCGGGAGGAUGCGCCUGUGCACUUGACUUCGGCCUACGGAAGCCCACGCCCUCUGUGCAUGUCUGACCCCACUUCGGCCACCGAUCCCUACCUCAACCCUCCCUACCUCAACCCGCUAGCCCCGUGGCAGCCCCAGCCCUUACGUCGGCC
rnacentral:lncRNA from 1 species